UUGAAGGCCAGAUGGAAGGAAAGAAGAGAGGCCUCUACCAGUGUGCCAGACACUCUGCUAGACACUCAUCUAUGUUAUCUCAUUUAACCCUUGAAGCCAUGACUGCUGUGGGUAUUGCUGCUCCCAUUGUGCAGAGAAGAAAACCAAGGCCUGGGGAAGAAGCAACAGAAUCCACAAGAGGCUAAAACCACUCAUGCAGCAAGGCAGAGGCAGAGCAGGGUCUCCGCCCCAUCUAUUGGAUGAAGAAGCCUCUGUGCAUCCCACUAUGAAACAGCCACCAAAAUAAUAUUUCUCAGCAAUGGAGCAAAACCUAUGAUUUGCAUCUGAGCAUGUUCCAACACGCCAGGAUAUACAUGAGACUGAAUGUAAGCCAGUGCAUGAGACCUGGUUUUAAUUGAAGAAGGAGCUGCUAAUGAUUUUUCUAAUGAGCAAAAAAGACCCCACACUUCAGUGAGAUCCGGGGCCAGUGCCAGUAUGAUCCUGCUGGCAUGCAGGGGGAAGGAAGGGGAUGCAUUUACUGAGCAUGGUAUAUCUAUCAUCACUUUUAAAUGCUCACAAGGGGCGCCUGGGUGGUUCUGUCAGUUACAUGCCCAGA